GUUCCAAAAAAAACCGGCAGGCCACAUCCCCGCACUCCUCCCUUGUCCCCAUCUCUCUCCCGCAUGGCUCUCCUCGCCGCCGCCACAGCCCCGCACUCCGACCUCGGCGACCUUCGGCGGGAAUCGACAGUGCCAAGCAUACAACAAGGAUCCCCUCCCUCCGCUCCUCCCUCCUGUCCGGCGAGAUCCGGCGCGCGCGUCCUCCAGCGCCACCCGCGCUCGUCUCCCGUCGCUAGGGUUUCGGCCGGCGUGGUCCGGCGACUCAGGUGCGUCCCUCCACUCCAUCUCCUCCUCCUCACAUCCCUCCCUCACUUCCUCGCCUCGUGUUCUCUCCCUCCCAGAUCCAGGAUGCCAUGGGCAGGAUGGCCUCUUCCUCCCCUGCCCCGACAUCAUGGAGUUGCGGUUGGCCGUGAGCCCAGCCACCUCCUUGCGGCCACAUCAUCUGGAUCUGGCCAGCGGCAGAGGAGGAGUUGGCGGUUGAAGAGGUCCCGGCGAGAUCGGACCCGCCCAAGGGCACGUGGACGAACGCGGACGGCUGACGCGUCCAUCCAGGCGACGUCGACCCCAUCGUACCCCAGCGCGGCCCGGAUCACCGACUCCUCCUGCUUCCCCCAGUACACCGCCUCCCUCAAGUGCCUGGAGACCAACCAGGACAAGAGCAAGUGACAGCAGCAGUUCGACGACUACAAGGAGUGCAAGAAGAGAGAGGCGCCACAACACGGGAAUCCUCCGGCUCCUAGUCCCAUCAAGCACCACCAGCGACGCUGGCGCGACGCCGGUGGCGAGUGCGCUGCAGCGAGCUAGGAGGGCGUCAUGCAGUCCAGCACUUCGAUCUGGACAUCAGGGAAGCGCUCGUGAGGCUUCCCAGGGGGCGGUCGACGCCCACAUCCAGUGCCUCAAGCGUGCCAUGGACCUCUCCAUGAAGCACCAGUACGUCCCUGACGACCUCCAGGUGAAGUAUGAAUCCAAGUCUGAAGCUGCGAAGCAUAUCAGCAAAGAGUAGCAUAUUAUGUGUUGUAAUUUUAGGCGGUAGUAGGCAUAUCUGGGUUGUAUACUGUAACGAUUGUAAUAGACUAAUGUAGUGUUGUUUUGGAUGAAUUUCAUCUGCUCUUUGGUCUGUUUGAAAUAAUGAUUGUGUAUGUGAUUUGAA